rnacentral:rRNA from 1 species
GGACUACUGGGGUAUCUAAUCCCGUUUGCUCCCCACACUUUCGCAUCUCAGCGUCAGUUGCAACCCAGAACGCCGCCUUCGCCACUGGUGUUCUUCCCGAUCUCUACGCAUUCCACCGCUACACCGGGAGUUCCACGUUCCUCUGUUGCCCUCAAGCCGUAUAGUCUCGCAUGACCUCCCCCAGUUGAGCCGGGGGCUUUAACACACGACUUACACAGCCGCCUACAUGCGCUUUACGCCCAGUGAAUCCGGAUAACGCUCGCCUCCUACGUCUUACCGCGGCUGCUGGCAC